rnacentral:rRNA from 1 species
GCAGUCGUACGAGAGUUUUUAACUCUAGUGGCGGACGGGUGAGUAACACGUGAGUAAUUUACCUUUAGGAGGGGGAUAACAAUUGGAAACGACUGCUAAUACCCCAUAUGCUUUUGAGUGAAAUGGAUUUAUAUUUAUCCGCCUAGAGAGAAGCUCGCGGCUGAUUAGCUUGUUGGUAAGGUAAGAGCUUACCAAGGCGACGAUCAGUAUCUGGUUUGAGAGGACGAUCAGACACACUGGAACUGAGACACGGUCCAGACUCCUACGGGAGGCAGCAGUGGGGAAUUUUCCGCAAUGGGCGAAAGCCUGACGGAGCAAUACCGCGUGAGGGAAGACUGCCUAUGGGUUGUAAACCUCUUUUUUCAGGGAGGAAUAAAAUGACGUGUACCUGAAGAAUAAGCAUCGGCUAACUCCGUGCCAGCAGCCGCGGUAAGACGGAGGAUGCAAGUGUUAUCCGGAAUCACUGGGCGUAAAGCGUCUGUAGGUGGUUUGAUAAGUCAACUGUUAAAUCUUGAGGCUCAACUUCAAAAUCGCAGUCGAAACUAUUAGACUAGAGUAUAGUAGAGGUAAAGGGAAUUUCCAGUGGAGCGGUGAAAUGCGUAGAUAUUGGAAAGGACACCGAUGGCGAAAGCACUUUACUGGGCUAUUACUAACACUCAGAGACGAAAGCUAGGGUAGCAAAUGGGAUUAGAUACCCCAGUAGUCCUAGCCGUAAACUAUGGAUACUAGAUGUUGAACAGAUCGACCUGUGCAGUAUCAAAGCUAACGCGUUAAGUAUCCCGCCUGG